AGAGUUUGAUCCUGGCUCAGAACGAACGCUGGCGGCAGGCCUAACACAUGCAAGUCGAGCGCCCCCGCAAGGGGGAGCGGCGGACGGGUGAGUAACGCGUGGGAAUUUUCCUCAAGGUACGGAACAACUCAGGGAAACUUGGGCUAAUACCGUAUGAUGUCUAGCGACCAAAGAUUUAUCGCCUUGGGAUAAGCCCGCGUCAGAUUAGGUAGUUGGUGGGGUAACGGCCUACCAAGCCUGCGAUCUGUAGCUGGUCUGAGAGGACGAUCAGCCACACUGGGACUGAGACACGGCCCAGACUCCUACGGGAGGCAGCAGUGGGGAAUCUUGCGCAAUGGGCGAAAGCCUGACGCAGCCAUGCCGCGUGAAUGAUGAAGGUCUUAGGAUUGUAAAGUUCUUUCGCUCGUGACGAUGAUGACGGUAACGAGAGAAGAAGCCCCGGCUAACUUCGUGCCAGCAGCCGCGGUAAUACGAAGGGGGCUAGCGUUGUUCGGAAUUACUGGGCGUAAAGCGCGCGUAGGCGGUUUUGCAAGCCAGAGGUGAAAUGCCUGAGCUCAACUUAGGAAUUGCCUUUGGGACUGCGAGGCUUUGAGGACUGGAGAGGUGAGUGGAAUUCCCAGUGUAGAGGUGAAAUUCGUAGAUAUUGGGAAGAACACCAGUGGCGAAGGCGGCUCACUGGCCAGUUUCUGACGCUGCAGCGCGAAAGCGUGGGGAUCAAACAGGAUUAGAUACCCUGGUAGUCCACGCUGUAAACGAUGAGUGCUAGGCGUCGGCACGCUUGCGUGUCGGUGCCGCAGCUAACGCGUGAAGCACUCCGCCUGGGGAGUACGGUCGCAAGAUUAAAACUCAAAGGAAUUGACGG
rnacentral:rRNA from 1 species